rnacentral:misc_RNA from 1 species
AACUUUUGACAAUGGAUCACUUGGUUCCGGCAUCGAUGAAGAACGCAGCGAAAUGCGAUACGUAAUGUGAAUUGCAGAAUUCAGUGAAUCAUCGAGUCUUUGAACGCACAUUGCGCCCUCUGGUAUUCCGGAGGGCAUGCCUGUCCGAGCGUCAUUGCUGCCCUCAAGCACGGCUUGUGUGUUGGGCUCCGUCCCCCGAUCCCGGGGGGACGGGCCCGAAAGGCAGCGGCGGCACCGCGUCCGGUCCUCGAGCGUAUGGGGCUUUGUCACCCGCUCUGUAGGCCCGGCCGGCGCCUGCCGAUCAACCAAAUUUUUAUCCAGGUUGACCUCGGAUCAGGUAGGGAUACCCGCUGAACUUAAGCAUAUCAAUAAGCGGAGGCU